ensembl:lncRNA
GCCUGUUGGUUGCAAGACCUUAAGGGUGUAUAUCUGCACAUCCAGCCCCUGGAAGUGGGAAAUAGGAGGCACCCCAAGAUCCAGGUGUUCUGAGACUGAGCCCCUGCACUCACCAGCCUUUGAUGAGUGACUCACUCAACCACAAGCCUUGGGUCUCCUCGUCUGUAAAUGUCCAUACUAGCAGCUGUGCAGUGUUAGGAGAUUGAAAAUGUGGAAGAAAAUGGUGGAGAAGGAUGGAAGAAAGAAGAACCCAAAAAGUAGCCAAACUCAGGCCACAGAUCCAACCCCUGGAGAGGAAGACGACUCCUGUAAGCUGUCUUCUGGCCUCUACACGUGCUUCAUGGCAGGUGUGCCCCACCCUUGUAGUCAAACAUAAUAAAAAUGGGGAGGAGAGGGAGAGAGACAGAGUCCGAAUUGGAAAACUAUGUCCAGUGGUGCUGGCUGCACAGGAGACUGUAGGGACCAGGGAUAACAAGCUGGAACAGGGGCUGGAG